UCUAGUGGACGGGACGCUUCUUCGAGAACAACAGUUAGUAAAACACCUUGUUAGCGUGCUAGACAACAUCGCAGAAACAUUGAAGCCCUUCAGACCGUUUCAGUGUCUAUUUGCCACUGUGUUUUGAACACACUUCUGUCGUAUCUACUAGUUACCCCAUUUAAUGUAAUAUUUACGUUGUUAGUCAUCUAAUUUAGACUAGCCCUAAGCUAAUGCUAAUUAGCUAGCUAACAUCCCCGACCAUGAGCUCACUAAGCUACUCUCCUCCUGCUGAAGAAGAGGUCUGCUGGACAGAGAAAGAAGCUCUUUGGUUGAACGUUGUUGCGAAAAAAGAGAAGAUACGUUCGGAGUGAAAGAGGAGGAGGAUGUUGCAGUUUUUGGAUUGAAGGAGUUGGAGAUCUGUUUAACCAGAAUGGCUGACGUUUUUGUUUGUUCCAGUUUUUGGAUUGAAGGAGGAGGAAGAAGAGGAGACUGAAGAUCUGAUUAACACCAAUGACAGAUAAAGCGUACCCUGUAACUGGAGAUUCCUUCAAAGCGAUUGCCUACAGUUACCGUGUAGGGCACUGCAAGGUUGGGUGACCAGGGUCCUCUGGGACUGCCUUCUGGAGGAAUUC